rnacentral:rRNA from 1 species
CUCCGGUUGAUCCCGCCGGACCCGACUGCUAUCAGAGUGGGACUAAGCCAUGCGAGUCAACAUAGCAAUAUGUGGCAUACGGCUCAGUAACACGUAGUCAACAUGCCCAGGGGACGUGGAUAACCUCGGGAAACUGAGGAUAAACCGCGAUAGGUCAUCACUUCUGGAAUGGGUAAUGACUUAAAUCUAUAUGGCCCCUGGAUUGGACUGCGGCCGAUCAGGCUGUUGGUGAGGUAAUGGCCCACCAAACCUGUAACCGGUACGGGCUCUGAGAGGAGGGGCCCGGAGAUGGGCACUGAGACAAGGGCCCAGGCCCUAUGGGGCGCAGCAGGCGCGAAACCUCUGCAAUAGGCGAAAGCUUGACAGGGUUACUCUGAGUGAUUUCCGUUAAGGAGAUCUUUUGGCACCUCUAAAAAUGGUGCAGAAUAAGGGGUGGGCAAGUCUGGUGUCAGCCGCCGCGGUAAUACCAGCACCCCGAGUGGUCGGGACGUUUAUUGGGCCUAAAGCAUCCGUAGCCGGUUCUACAAGUCUUCCGUUAAAUCCACCUGCUUAACAGAUGGGCUGCGGAAGAUACUAUAGAGCUAGGAGGCGGGAGAGGCAAGCGGUACUCGAUGGGUAGGGGUAAAAUCCGUUGAUCCAUUGAAGACCACCAGUGGCGAAGGCGGCUUGCCAGAACGCGCUCGACGGUGAGGGAUGAAAGCUGGGGGAGCAAACCGGAUUAGAUACCCGGGUAGUCCCAGCUGUAAACGAUGCAGACUCGGUGAUGAGUUGGCUUAUUGCUAACUCAGUGCCGCAGGGAAGCCGUUAAGUUUGCCGCCUGGGGAGUACGGUCGCAAGACUGAAACUUAAAGGAAUUGGCGGGGGAGCA